UACGUAGGGGGCGAAGCGUUGUCCGGAAUCAUUGGGCGUAAAGGGCGCGUAGGCGGGCAUAUAAGUCUGAUGUGAAAGUGCGGAGCUUAACUCCGUAAAGCAUUGGAAACUGUGUGUCUUGAGGACAGGAGAGGAAAGUGGAAUUCCACGUGUAGCGGUGAAAUGCGUAGAGAUGUGGAGGAACACCAGUGGCGAAGGCGACUUUCUGGACUGUAACUGACGCUGAGGCGCG
rnacentral:rRNA from 1 species